AUUGAACGCUGGCGGCAUGCCUUACACAUGCAAGUCGAACGGCAGCACGGGUGCUUGCACCUGGUGGCGAGUGGCGAACGGGUGAGUAAUACAUCGGAACAUGUCCUGUAGUGGGGGAUAGCCCGGCGAAAGCCGGAUUAAUACCGCAUACGAUCUACGGAUGAAAGCGGGGGACCUUCGGGCCUCGCGCCAUAGGGUUGGCCGAUGGCUGAUUAGCUAGUUGGUGGGGUAAAGGCCUACCAAGGCGACGAUCAGUAGCUGGUCUGAGAGGACGACCAGCCACACUGGGACUGAGACACGGCCCAGACUCCUACGGGAGGCAGCAGUGGGGAAUUUUGGACAAUGGGCGAAAGCCUGAUCCAGCAAUGCCGCGUGUGUGAAGAAGGCCUUCGGGUUGUAAAGCACUUUUGUCCGGAAAGAAAUCCUUGGCCCUAAUACGGUCGGGGGAUGACGGUACCGGAAGAAUAAGCACCGGCUAACUACGUG
rnacentral:rRNA from 1 species